AUGACUACCGUUCCGGGGUCUCUGGUGUGGGAGCUCGUGAAGAAAAACAACUGCUUCUUGAUCAAGCAGUUCGGCAACAGCAACGCCAAGGUGCAGUUCAGCAAGGAGCCAAACAACCUCUACAAUGUCCACUCCUACAAGUUCUCUGGCUUGGCGAACAGCAAGACCGUGGCGGUCCAGCCAUCAGCGGGAGAGGACAAGGCUGUCGUCCUGUCCACGACCAAGACCAAGAAGCAGAACACCCCUGCCAAGCUCCAGCACAAGACUCUGAUGCGCAAGGAGUUCCGCAAGAUGGCCAAGUCCGUCAAGAACCAGGUCUGCGACAACUACUACAGGCCUGAUCUGACCAAGCCGGCCCUUGCAAGGCUGAGUGCCGUGUACCGCAGCCUCCAGGUUUCCAAGUCUGGAAUCAAGAAGAAGAACAGGCAGCCAACUAAGCUGUAA
rnacentral:rRNA from 1 species